GCAGAGGAGGAGCGGGAGCAGGAAGGGGAGCAGCGAGAGGAGGCGCCGCGUGCGUCCAGCGCUCUCUGGAUCUGCAGCCCCUUCGCGCCGGGAGCAUCGCUGCCCCCGCAUGCCGCAGGACUUCUCAUUCCCAAGCCUUGGCCGAAUGGAGGAGGAGGAGGAGGCAGUGAGGAAGAUGCCCCGGGAGCCCCAGGCAGGCACUGAGCUGCAGAUGGAGACCAGGGAG